GGGUCCAUAGCUCAGUUGGUAGAGCAACCGACUUUUAAUCGGUAGGUCGCGGGUUCGAGUCCCUCUGGACCCACCA
rnacentral:tRNA from 1 species